rnacentral:lncRNA from 1 species
CAGGCAUGAGCCACCAUGCCUGGCCAGAUACAGAUAUAUUUUUAAGGAAAAAUACUGGAAGAGUAAUCAGCAAACGUUAAAAAUAGCCCUGUAGGGCAGAUGAAGCCACCUACACACCACCUCCCAGCCUUUGCCCUGACCGUUCCUUUGCCUUGAAUGGCAAUCUCUUCUCUGCCUCUGCAAAUUAUAACCUGCCGAGGAAACAUCCCGCUCCUUCUGGGCUCUUGCAGACCUCACGAACCAGCUAUCUCUGCCGUGGGAAGAUGCUCUCUGGACCGCCUGACAUUGCCACUAAUGACCGAGGACCCCAGCUGGAUCUGAAAUAUCCAUCUCCUCUCACCCCUCAGAGCCACCGCAAGCUUGGACUGUGACCUGCUGGGUUCCAGAGAGGGCAAGUCUUCCUCCAGUAGAAGUCCGUGGCUCCAUGUCAGUGGUUCUAAGAGGCUUCUUCCAAAGGCUACAUUUCUUCUCAUAACUAUCCCAGUGCGGGCUCUCUAGGCCUGCCUAUUAUAUAUAAAUACACUUAACUUUUAUGGGGGUAUGCAGUGCUCUCGGCAUAAACCAUCUCCUCUGUCCCAAAGGACUAGGGGAAGGGCUGGAACAUGGAGCAUGUGCACAUGUGACAACACCAGGACAGAUUCUGAGACCCAGAUGAUUGGAACCUACACCACAAGGUAUCACCCUAGAGACAUAAAACAUCACUGAAGUCUUUCAAUCUCCCCCCACUGCAUGUGUGCAAUUUGGGCGUGAUCCUCCCAGCAUGGAUCAGCGCAUCCCAUCUCUCUCAUCCUCCUCUGCCACCACUGUGCUUAUUAGACCACUGGGGAGGCCUCCUGGCUCCCGGUCCUGCUUCUGUUCUGGCACCUCCUUCACUCUGUGCUGCACACAAGCUGCGCGGGUGAUAUGGUACAGCAGAACCCCACUGGUCACGGCCUUGCCCCAAAGGCUCCUGAGGCCCUUAGAGCUGCUCUUACAGCCAGCCCAGCAGGGCCCUCCUAGGCGUCUGACUCUCUCUUUCAACCUUAAUGGGUAACUUGAUCUCAGUCAUCAAUGGUUAGAUGCAUGUAUUUUGUUUCUGGUUUGCAGAUGAAGUAGCAACUGAAGCCAUCAGUUCAUUCAUUCAUUGAUUCAUUCAGUCAACAAAUAUUCAUUGAGGGCCCACUAUGCAUCAGGCUGUGUCCCCGAUGUUCAGGG